AAAUUGAAGAGUUUGAUCAUGGCUCAGAUUGAACGCUGGCGGCAGGCCUAACACAUGCAAGUCGAACGGUAACAGGAAGCAGCUUGCUGCUUUGCUGACGAGUGGCGGACGGGUGAGUAAUGUCUGGGAAACUGCCUGAUGGAGGGGGAUAACUACUGGAAACGGUGGCUAAUACCGCAUAACGUCGCAAGACCAAAGAGGGGGAUCUUCGGGCCUCUUGCCAUCAGAUGUGCCCAGAUGGGAUUAGCUAGUUGGUGAGGUAACGGCUCACCAAGGCGACGAUCCCUAGCUGGUCUGAGAGGAUGACCAGCCACACUGGAACUGAGACACGGUCCAGACUCCUACGGGAGGCAGCAGUGGGGAAUAUUGCACAAUGGGCGCAAGCCUGAUGCAGCCAUGCCGCGUGUAUGAAGAAGGCCUUAGGGUUGUAAAGUACUUUCAGCGGGGAGGAAGGUGUUGUGGUUA
rnacentral:rRNA from 1 species